rnacentral:rRNA from 1 species
UUAGGAAUCUUCCACAAUGGGCGAAAGCCUGAUGGAGCGACGCCGCGUGAGGGAUGAAGGCCUUAGGGUUGUAAACCUCUAAAAGAGGGACGAUAAUGACGGUACCUCUUGAAUAGCACCGGCUAACUCCGUGCCAGCAGCCGCGGUAAUACGGAGGGUGCAAGCGUUAUCCGGAAUCACUGGGCGUAAAGGGCGCGUAGGCGGUCUGUUAAGUCCGAUGUUAAAUCCCGGGGCUCAACCCCGGAUAAGCGUUGGAUACUGGCAGACUAGACGGUUGGAGAGGCGAGUGGAAUUACCAGUGUAGCGGUGGAAUGCGUAGAUACUGGUAGGAACACCCAUUGCGAAGGCAGCUCGCUGGACAACACGUGACGCUGAGGCGCGAAAGUGUGGGGAGCAAACC